rnacentral:rRNA from 1 species
GUGAAAUUGUUGAAAGGGAAGCGCUUGCAACCAGACCUGCCUGCAGUUGCUCAUCCGUGGCUUUUGCCCGGUGCACUCUUCUGCUGUCAGGCCAGCAUCAGUUCGGGCGGUCGGAUAAAGGCUUCGGGAAUGUAGCUCCUCUCGGGGAGUGUUAUAGCCCGUUGCGAAAUGCGGCCAGCCUGGACUGAGGUCCGCGCUUCGGCUAGGAUGCUGGCGUAAUGGUUGUAAGCGGCCCGUCUUGAAACACGGACCAAGGAGUCUAACAUCUGUGCGAGUGUUUGGGUGUUAAACCCGUACGCGUAAUGAAAGUGAACGGAGGCGGGAACCCCUCGGGGUGCACCGUCGACCGAUCCUGAUGUCUUCGGAUGGAUUUGAGUAAGAGCAUAGCUGUUGGGACCCGAAAGAUGGUGAACUAUGCCUGAAUAGGGUGAAGCCAGAGGAAACUCUGGUGGAGGCUCGCAGCGGUUCUGACGUGCAAAUCGAUCGUCAAAUUUGGGCAUAGGGGCGAAAGACUAAUCGAACUAUCUAGUAGCUGGUUCCUGCCGAAGUUUCCCUCAGGAUAGCAGUAACGUUUUCAGUUUUAUGAGGUAAAGCGAAUGAUUAGACGCCUGGGGGUUGAAACAACCUUCACCUAUUCUCAAACUUUAAAUAUGUAAAAAGUC